rnacentral:misc_RNA from 1 species
UUAGUGAGACCCUCCUCUGUU